GGAGUUGGUGCCUAGUCGGACCUCGAGUUCGUAAGCAGUGGGAGCGCAGUGGUUUGGAGGAGUCCGAGGUUGCUAUGGAGUCCCCGAAACUUUUGAAAACUGUCGGGGUUCCAGGCGAAGAGCAAGAGCGAAUGGAGGAUUUCUGGAGACGUGUGCUAAGCUUAAGGUGACAAGGGAAAGAGGACGUGGGGCUUUCAAUGGAGCAGGAAGCAGAAUCUCUUCUCCAGAUCCUGAAUCUGGGAUGGCCCCAUGACUUACUUUGAUCAAUAAUAUGUGGCAGAAGUGAUGCAUGUAACUUCUGAGGUCCAGGAGAAUACCAGAGAAUACAGAAUAUCACAUCAUGUGGCUUCCAUAUUUAAUCUUUUGGAACAGUCUUCUGAGACUUCCUAGGAUGAAAGAAAAUGUGAAGGAAAAGGCUGAACCAUCAGCCAGAACCAACUGACACACUUGAGAGUGAAGCCAGCGUGGGACUCCUAGCUCAACUCUGCGAGUGAACCUGGACAAAAUCGGACAUUUCACAAAAAUUUGAGAAAUAAAAAUUGUUAUUGUUUUAAUCCUCUAAA